UGUGGGAGCGAGCUUGCUCGCGAUGGCGGUUGAUCAUUCAACAUUAUUGUUGAUGCUGAUGGCCCCAUCGCGAGCAAGCUCGCUCCCACA
rnacentral:misc_RNA from 1 species